rnacentral:lncRNA from 1 species
UACAUUCAAUCUUGUUUAAUUCGUUUUCUAAGGCCAUAGCUUAAGUCGUAAAUAUACAUUAUGGAAAAUAUAGAUUUAGAAAAAAAAAUUAGCCAUUUUUAUUUAAUAAGCUUGAUGAGUUAACAAAAUAGGAAUGGAAAAUCUAGACUUAAUUUAAUAUUAUUAAUUAUUAAAUUGUAUGUGUGUGGAUUUGUCUUGGAAUUAAGUAUAGUGUGAUAAAUUAUUUAGGUCGAUGAGGGGGUGAGAAUAGAAGCAUGGGUGGUGGUUAUACGAAAUUAUUUUCAAUUUGUUUGGGCUAAAAAAUACGGUUAAGGAUGAGUUUCGUCAGAAGUAGAGGUGUGAACAGCAAAAGAUUGUUCUUUCCAAAAACACCCGAGCAUUUUUAUUAUUAAAUAAGAGACAAGAAAAAUAAUUAGUCAACGACAUCGUAUCACACUACACGGCGUAAUUUGUUACGUGACUGACUGUUUUAGCAAAAAAUAUCCACAUGACGUAUUCAUGUGGACUCACUUUAAUGAAGCUUUCUAUAAAUAUUAAAGCAAAGAAAAAAAC